UGAAGGAGAUUUAUCUCUGCUGUUCAUACAUUUUUGGGUACCUUUUGGAUCCUGAAGCAUGUGCAAAUAACAGCUGUUCAAAUACACAUAAAAAAUGCUAAGGGCCUAGUUGGGAACUAGGACAUUCCCCAGAAGCCAUGUGCUACUGUAGAAGGCAGCCCCUGCCAAGUGCCAGAUGAGUGACAGAGAUAAAUGGGAGGGUGGGAGAAUCAGAGGAGGGAGCCCUGCUGUAGGGGGGAUGGCUUCUGGAAGGUUGUGACCUAAGCAAGGAAGAAUGGCAACACUGAGACAGCCGGAGCCCAGGCUUCCAGAAGGAGGACAUGCUUUGGAGGCAGUAAUACUCCUGACACAGCAGAGCUUCCCAUUGACUCUGCAGUCCAAGUGUGAAUGACCCAGAAGAACAGAGGACUUGGUGCUUGAUCAGGCAAGAACAGAGCCAGUGUGGACAGAAAGACGGCUGCUGCUGUUGCU